AUCCAACUGACAAGUCUCAAAUAGAACGAAACACGCGUUCUGGAU
rnacentral:hammerhead_ribozyme from 1 species